rnacentral:lncRNA from 7 species
GGAUGACUGUGAAGCUCUCCUGUAUGUUACUGUUUGGUCCCCAAAGUUUGAGUAAUGGGGUUCUGUAGAGCUACUGUCAGCUCCUGUGCAUCACUUGCAGCUCUGUGGCCUGUUAAGAUCAGUUUUCUGAGAUGUGUUAGUGCAGAAGGCAUGUGGGUUGGAUUUACUCUUCUUGACAUUACCAGUCUUAAACUGUCUGUACCUGAUGAUUGCCUGUAGAUGAGUCAGUCACUUGGGGUACUACUACUCUCAACAAGGAGGGAUACUAAAUUCUGAUGUAAUGGCCAAUAUGAAGCAUUUUGGGGCUGAGUUGACUGAAAAUAACUGUCUAAUGAGAAGCUUCUGUCCAGACUCAUGCUGCAACUUUGGAAGAUUUUGUCCUCUAUCUCUCCUGUGUCCUAUAACAUGGAGGACCCACUGAGCAUCUGAAGUGGCACUGGCACCUUGCUGGACAGCUGAAUUAAGUUUUAUAUUUCUUCCUUGCAAUUAAAGAAAUUGCACCUUAGUGUGCAAUGACUUCUUCUCUUCCUUGACUAUUGAGGAUAUUAUGAAUAUAUACAGCUUGAGACAUAAAUACAUCUGGCUAGGUAAAGCAAAUGUCAUCACUUGAAUCUGUUUUCAUGUGGUCGAUGUGUUAUGCUUAUUUUUAUGUGGAUGUUGUGUUGUUUUUUUUUUAAUUUUAAACUCAACAUAAGAAGGACAGAACAAACUUGAGCUCUUUCUGAUGAUUCAUUUUCCUGGUUGUUUUGAGAUGUUCAGGCACCAAAUCAUUGGUUGUGAUUUUUAUUUCUAAAUGCACUCCAAAAAUUCAUAUGAUGAAAAUACAUGUCUAUGGCUGACAGUAACCACAAGAUAUACAAUUAUUGGAUUUUUGUCAUACUGCCUUGAUAUAAGUGUUAAAAUAUCCCUAAUGUUGAAACAGAAUCAAAUUUUAAAUAUAUAUAUAUACACACACACA